rnacentral:rRNA from 1 species
CACGUAGGGGGCAAGCGUUGUCCGGGAUUUAUUGGGCGUAAAGAGCUCGUAGGCGGUUCGGUAAGUCGGGUGUGAAACCUCCAGGCUCAACCUGGAGAGGCCACCUGAUACUGCUGUGACUCGAGUCCGGUAGGGGAGCGUGGAAUUCCUGGUGUAGCGGUGAAAUGCGCAGAUAUCAGGAGGAACACCAGCGGCGAAGGCGGCGCUCUGGGCCGGAACUGACGCUGAGGAGCGAAAGCGUGGGUAGCAAACAGG